rnacentral:lncRNA from 1 species
CCUCACUUCAUCUCCUCCAUAUCAAACUCUCGUUUGCCAUUGUUUACGGUGAGACAACUACUAAUCGCCACCAAAUCUCGACCAUAGAACCCUCAUAGUCCCCUAAGCACUAAACCAUAACCAAUUUUCGCUGAAUAUUCUCUGCUUCUCUUUAAUUUUGGAUCUUGAAACAGGAACCAUGGUUUUGUAUCCUCCUUCAACCCUUCAUUUAAAGGUCCGAUUUAGUUAAUCUCUGAGCUUGAAAGCUGAUGUUAGGUUAAAAUGAGUGUUAGACAUUUGUUCUCGGAAGAACAAAUCGAACAACACUCCUUUUCGCCUCAAAUCGGAGAACAAGGGAGUCCAUUCAAGUCCUCGUCCCAUGUUGAUUAUGCUAGGUAUUUUCUCUGUUUCUCGUCAUUUGUUUUUCUCACUUUUCCAUAUUCAUCUCCUUCUGUCUUCCUCCCUUGUUAGGUCACAUAAGUUCUUUCUAUCUCUGAAUGCAUGACGAUUACAUUGGGUCUGUUUUUUUUUUCUAUUUUCUUUUCUUUUGUUAAGUACUAGUUACCAUAUGUUGCGUGUUUAGAAUUUGAGUCAUAUUAAUAAUUAUCAAUAUUUUAAUGUGUUUGACUCCUUUCUUCUUCAGCAUUUUGAUUUCAUUUUGGCCCGUUUCUAUGUGCUUUGUUCCAUUAAUUUUCUUUUGAUGCUAAAAUGGCUGUAUUGGUUUGGGUUCACCUAUUUUGUGGCCUGUUAUUUUCCUUAUCACACUUUCGGCCCCGAAGGUCCAGGCAACCCAAAUGCUGUUGGAACGUGCAAAUGCAGUAGCCCAAAGACCACGGACCAAUUUGACCCGUUUGGUAGGCUAAAGUAAAAAUAGGAGUAGGGGGUACUUGAGGUAUUUGGUUGAAUGAGUCUUAGUAAGAAACUUCUAGUGGGUGGGGAGGGGGGGGGUUUACUGAAUUUCAUAAUUAUAGUCGUUUUUACUUGGAUAAUAGGUCAUAAAAUCAGGGACCCAAGGGGGCAAAACAAAAUCUGAUAGAUGCCCUACCUUCUUGCCUAUAAAGGCAUCACUUUCUUGCCUUGGAAUGGGGGAGCAGAGAUUUAAGAGCUGAAAAUCCAGAAAAUAAAGGUUGCAUAGAUUUACUGUUUCAUAGGCUUAAGAGAUUUUAGGAGUUAAAAAAAUACAGAAAAAGAGUUGGUUGGAUUGAGAAAGAAAAAACACUAUUCCAUUGAACUAUUAUAUCCUUCUUUGAUUUUUGGAGUUUGAUUUCAUUUUUUCUAAAACUAUCAUCGAAUUCUUUUAAGCUGAAAUGAUUUGAAGUUAGAGUAGUAGCUGGUUUUUGGGGUUAUGUGAUUUGCUGGGUCACUAUUCUGGUGGAAUUGGGAUGCUGACUUGCUGUUGCUGCGACCUUCUUAUCUUCACUCUCUCUUUUGUUUCCCUUUCUUGUCCCAUGUAUUAUUCAGCCCUAUGGACUUCACCUAAUGUGUAAUGCAAAGUUUGGAUUGGAAUAAGAUGAAGUUUAGUGGUGGUUCAUUGACUUUAAUCUUUAUUCCUUCAGUUUUUUUUAUGAUCAGUAUAUCAAGUUUGGAUUUUGUCUAAUGUAUUUGUCAAAGCAUGGUUGUAAUUGGUAAUUAGAUCGUGUUGUUUAGUGUAGUGAUCUUCUUUUAAUUCUGUUUAUUAGAGUCUGCAAUUAGAGUUGGAUUUCCAUUAGGUUAGCUUGUAUUACUGCAGUGAAUUAGAAUGGUUGAGAUUGUCGUAUUAGUGCCUGUUGAUUAUGAUGAGGCAACUUAGCAGUAAUAAGGAGUAGUAGUUUGUCAAAUAACCCUUGGUUGAAACACUGUAUGUAAUGUGGACAUGCACAUGAUAUUCUGGAUAUCUCAAUGAUUUAGUUUUUACUUCAGGAUCAUUUGAAACAAAUUCAAAGCAUGAAUAUGGCUAUAUGAUUAGCAUGUUUGUUAUGUGGAUGUGGUUAGUUUUAAAUAGCUUGUAGUUAAAUUCCAUUCAGUUUUUCGUUG